ACAUCAAUAUUCCUUAUAAGUAUAACCAAAUUUGGGAUAACGUCUUUUAUCAAGUCCAUUUUCUGCAUUCCUCUACCCCUGUAUAGUAAGUGAACUCAUUUCACUAAAAAGGACUGCAAUCUAAGAAGAAAGUUCCAAGUUUUGGUCAUAUACAACCGUAUAGUAACCAAAUUUCCUAAUGGCAUUGCAUCUAUCUCCUUCGUCCUUAAGUUCAUUUGCGUCUUGCUGUCCCCUUCAUUGUUGCCUGGAAUGCUGGUUUGAAAGUUAGACGUUAUGUUCUGAUUAUUUGAAAUGAAUUUGACUUGGAUCGUGAAGAUUCAUCAGUUAAUUAGCGAGCAUGAAUUUAACUCAGAUUAUGAUAUCCCCCAUGGAUUAUGUGCAUUGAUGCGCAUUGUGUUCCUGUGCUCAUAUGGGCAUGCGGGCAGUUGCUAGAUAGACUAUAUAGUGUCAGGUAUGAAGAGCGAACUUGACUACUUAUAUCAAUUUAUACCAAUUAGCACCCUCUUAGUGAUAUUUUGCUGUGAAGUCUACUAACAAGUAGUAUCUGUGUCUUGCAUGUAGCAUCAGUCGACGUAUGAUUAAGCAAGCACGUGCAUUUACCUAGUUUAAGUUUUGAGGAUCUUUCUUUUGGUUCGUAAAUUGUCUAAGGACAAUUAAAAAAAUUCAUGGUUAUACUAUUUAUUCAAGCCAAUCAUAACCUUCGAUUGCCUUGUCUCCAUACAGGUCAGAAAAUUUUUCAUCAAUUACAUUAAACGAAUCUGCCAGGGAGCUUAAGGAGAUGAUCGCCUUCAAUACCUUGGCUGUUACUGAACUGGUCGCAGACAAACAAGGGGAAUCACCUGAUACUGCAUCUGAAGAAGCUGCUAAGGAGGAAGAAGUAGAAAUAGAAGAGGAGCGGAGCGGGAGUCUCUCCAGACACUUAGAAAGAUAAGACCCAGUAAAGAACUUACAGCCAAGUUAGGAAAGCAAGGCCAAACAGAGAUAAAUUUAAAGGAUGAUCUUCCAGAGAGCGACAGGACCAACCUCUGUAAGACAUAUCUAUUCUUUUGCCUGACUAGAGAAGAAACGAAUAUCCCCUUUGGAGCACAAAUCACAACCAAAAAGGAUGACUCUGAAUAUGUAAGCUUGGCGGUAUCCAUGGCUUGACUCCUAAGGAGAUUGUGGAAGUCCACCGGGGUCUCGCCCAGCAGGCAUUCAGGCAACAAGCAGAGAGGAAAUUAGCUGAUGGUCAGCUGACGAAGGCUAGGAUUGAGCAGCUGAAUGAGGUGCAGAAGCAAGUUUGCUUGCCUCCGGAAUGGCUCAGAAAGUAAUUAAGAGCAUUACAACUACAGAGAUGGCAGCUGCAAUGGAAACUGCUCUCAGUCAGGGGAGAUCCGAGAACUCAAGGAAGCGAGCGUAGAUUUAGAUAGCGUGAUAUCUGAGAGCCUGAGAGACAACCUCUUCAAAAAAAUUGUGGAUGAAAUAUUCUCUUCAGGUACGGGUGGAUUUGAUGAGGAGGAAGUUCACGAGAAAAUACCAGCCGACCUGAAUAUCAAUGCCGACAAAGCUAGAGAGGUGGUUCGCGAGCUAGCUCGAAGUAGAUUGUCAAAUUCGCUCAUUCAGGCCGUGACCUUGUUGAGGCAAAGGAAUCGACCAGGAGUGGUUUCCUCUCUCAAUGAUUUGCUGGCAUGCGACAAAGCUGUACCGGCGGAGCAGCUGUCUUGGGAAGUGCCAGAAGAACUGGCAGACUUAUUUGCUAUAUACUCGAAGAGCGAGCCUGCCCCAGAGAAACUAUCGAGAUUGCAGCAUCUGCUUGGCGUUAGCGAUUCAGCUGCGGCAGCUAUCCGGGAGAUGGGAGACAGAGUGAUUCAAAUUGGGGCUGAGGAGGAAGAGUUUGAUUUCUGGGUAAUUCUUUUUUCGUUUUCUUAUGUAUCGGCAUAAGUUUCGUUUGGCCCAAUGUGCAAGGGUCCAUUGCUCAAUUUGGAUCUGCUCUCUCACUAGUUAGAUUGUUCAAGGAUGAUAGAGCUCAAGGCGUGACGCUGAGUUGUCGAGAUUUUGGUUAUAAUCAUAGAUUUAUCGACAUAACGGACCAUUAUGAGAGUA